GUGCUCACUUCAACAGCACAUAUACUAAAAUUGGAACGAUACAGAGAAGAUUAGUAUGGCCCCUGCACAAGGAUGACACACAAAUUCAGGAGGUGUUCCAUAUUUUU
rnacentral:snRNA from 1 species